rnacentral:lncRNA from 1 species
CUCCCUCCCUCUCCCUCUCCCACCCCCUCAAAGUGCAGAUGCAUGUUCUAGCCAAUUUUAUGAAUAAUUCUGAAGUUUAUCUACAGAGCACUGGGGCACUUAAUCUUAGGAAUAAGACCAAGAAGUGAUUAUUCCACUCCUCAAGUGGCAUAAUAUUUCCUUUACUGACAAUUUACUCAUGCCUCCCUUGUCUAGAACUUACCAGUUGCUUCUCCUUGACAUUCUCCUCCUGAUUGACACUUUGUCCCCUCCCACAGCUAACUCUCCAUGCAAAAGGCUCAAAUCCCUCAAAGGAGAAUUCCAGAAAGUAAUAACAAUUGAUGCAAAUGCAAAAACUCAGACUGACUGGAGCAAAAAGGAGGGAAUUUGUUCAUUCAAGGAACUAAAAGUUUAUGAAUAGCUCUUUAGGACCCAGAGACUCUAAUGAUAUCACUAGCUCUUGGUAUCAUCUUUCAUAUCUUGGCUCUGUUUUUCUCUGAAUUGGCUUUCAUUCUUUGUCAGCCUUUUCCCUUAUAGUGAAAACACGUUUGUCAACAGCUACAGGCUCCCCUAGCAUUUGCAGACUUCAGACAAGGGCACAAGUGGAAAUUCACAUAAAUAAACUCUAAAUAUUUUAAAGUUAUAACCAACCCAACAAAUUUUCCUUAAUCUUGAAAAAUAUACUUAAUAAUGACAUGUAUGUAUAAAUGACUAUAAUGACUAUAUGUAUGUAUAUAUGACUAUAAUGACUAUAAUUUUUAUGACUGAAAAUCAAGUCAUUAAUAUAAUUACAUUUAAUUAUUAUUAUGUAGGUGUAAUGGAUUUUUUUCUGCUUAUUAUACAAAAGAUAUUUUUCUAUAUUUCAGCUAAAUGACAAGAAAACCCUGCAAAGCUUCUUAAAUCUGAGUGUGGGUCCUAUGCCUAGAGAUUCUCAUUCACUAGCUCUGUUUGGGGUCCAGGAAUAUGAAUUUAAAACAAGAGCUCCAGGUAAUAUAAUAAAAUCAAGAUCUUCACAUAAUUUGUAAAACAAGUUGUCAUUAUCUCGUAAACUUGAAGAGUCACAUCCUGUAGACCCAGCAACUUCAGCCUCUCCCAUGGUACAAGUAUCUUCAUAGUCCUGAGAAGACAACUGGAUGGGCCCAAAAGGCUUUUCCUCUCCUUUUGUUAACUAGGAAGAAAACUGGCUCAGCAGAUCUGAAUUAGGUCAGCUGAUUCCAGCUGAUGAGUUCUGGAAGCUUCCCCUUUUUAACAAAGCUCCUUUGGGAUGGGCUCACAAAGCUUCCAUUGUUACAUCAUGGUGUAAUUUUCCUAAGUAUGCAGCCGGUGGAGUUGGAAAUUACCUUUCUUCUUGAACUUUGAUCAUGACAAGUACAGACAUCUGUGCUUAGCCUAAAUUGUGGUACAAUGAAAGUUUAGAGAAAUAUGCAUGGUAUACUAAAUCUCUAAUUGGAAAAAAAAAAAUUCCCCCUAAUGAAUCCUAUCUCAUAUUUGUACUGCUAAGCCUCAAGAAUGGGAGUCAUACCCUUUUGCCUUACAGCACUUCUGUUUGUUGUAGCAAAAAAACUUGAAAAAACACAAAUGCCCAUUGACAGGGCAUAGAGAUGCUGUGAUAUAUUCAUUCAAUGGAAUGCUAUAUAGCAAUGAAGAGGAAUAAACUAAAGCCGUAGGCAUCAAUAUAAAUGAAUCUUAGAAAUAUGAUUAGAAAAAUCAUGCUCUCAAAGAAUACCAAAAUACAAUACCAUUUAUAUAAAAUUAAAGUUCCAAACCAUAUGUCAGAGACCCUUACAUAUGGGGGAAACCAUAAAUAAAAGCAAAAUCAUGGCAGUGAUUUUCUGGUGAGGGUUGGGAGUUAGGUGAUGGAGUUGUAUGAAAGGCAGAUGCACAUGAGGGCAAUUAAAGCUAUUGGUACUUUAUUUAUAUGAAUUAAGCAUUCAAUUUAUAGAGAUUUCUCCAUUGCUAUCCUUCAUAAUUUACAUUUAUGAUGUUUUUCAUGUCUUAAACAUUUUAUAAAUUUUAAGUAUGAAAAAGAGAGAUGUAGCUCAGUUUAUUUCCUCAGCUGGAGAAGCAGGAGGAAUUCCUAGCUAGCAUUCCUUGAAACUUUCUUGGGCAGAAAUAAUUGUCAUAGCUGGAAUAUAUGGUUUGUCCACCAGAGGUUCAUAUGUGAGAAGCUUGGUUCCCAGCACAGUAAUGUUAAGGUGGUGGAUCUUUAAGCAGUGAGGACUAUUCAAGGUAAUUGGGUCAUGAGGCACCACCCAUGGAAAGGAUUAAUGCUGGUCUCAUGGAGUAAAUUGAUUCUUGGGAGAGCAGGUUGUUAUAAAACAAGGCCACCCCGUAUGAUUGGCCCUUUCUGCAUGAAGUGGAUUCCCUUUCCAUUUCUCUACCACAUUGUGAUGCAUCCAGAGGGAUCCUUUUCAGAAUGACAGCACCAUGGUGUUUGGACCCUCCAGCCACCAGAAUUGUGAACCAAAUAAACCUCUCUACUUCAUAAGUUACACAGCCUUAGGUGUUUUGUUAUAGAAUUAUCUGUAAAGACGAGUAAGGUUGAAGGGGUGGAAAGGCCCUCUUCCAUGAUCAGAGCUUUCCUCUGGAUCCUUUCAUGCUAGAAGUUUCCCAAAUACUCAAGUAUAAAUAGGAACCCAAGGGUGGGGGUGCUAUUAAAAAACAGUUCAGGAGCUGGGGUUGUAGCUCAGUGGUAGAGCACUUGCCUAGCAUGUGUGAGGCACUGAAUUUGAUUCUCAGCACCACAUAUAAAUAAAUAAAAUAAAGGUCCAUUGACAAUUAAAAAAAAGCAAUUCAAACAUGUUAUGUUGAUGACAUAAAUAUAUAAGACUAAAAAUUCUUUUGUAAUCCAGGUUGGAUAGCUGUUGUCCACAUUUGGGAACAAAAAUAUUAAGAAUCUAGGAAGUCUCAAAGAAUUGAGCAAUUCUAAUCAUAGUGAUACAAUCAGGG